UUUUAUGAGAGUUUGAUCCUGGCUCAGGACGAACGCUGGCGGCGUGCCUAAUACAUGCAAGUCGAACGCUUCUUUUUCCACCGGAGCUUGCUCCACCGGAAAAAGAAGAGUGGCGAACGGGUGAGUAACACGUGGGUAACCUGCCCAUCAGAAGGGGAUAACACUUGGAAACAGGUGCUAAUACCGUAUAACAAUCGAAACCGCAUGGUUUUGAUUUGAAAGGCGCUUUCGGGU
rnacentral:rRNA from 1 species